rnacentral:lncRNA from 1 species
AUGAAUCACUCCUCACAGAAAGGAGUCACAUGCCUGUCUUGGGAAAUUUGCAGCCUCACGCUCACUCCCAGAGGGACAAAGGAUAAUGACUUCAUGUCGCUGGCUGCUCACUCACUAUGCUCCUCAAGCACAGGUUUUCUUUUGAAGGAAAAGCUGCCUCGUCUUUUUAAAGGACAUCACAAGACUCUUGGUGACACGAUUCAGCUCUGGCAUCCGCCACAAAGACAUUUGUGUGUCCUUCUGGGGCUUGGAGCCAGGCUUCCAGCCAGCACAAACUUUCUGCCCGUCUUCCACAUGAAGGGCAGAGCUCCUGCUUCUGCCAGGAAUGAAGAUGGCCACUGCUGCUGCCCCAAGCCUCCACAGCAGCUAGAAAGCAAACUUCCAAUUAAGAGCUUGAUUAUAGCCACCUGACCUCGGUAUGGGACAGUAAGAGCCAAGUGAUCUGAGAACUUCGGCCACUGAGCUGUGUGGAACGCACUCCAAGGUGAGUUAGUCCUCCGUCUGCUUUGCUGGUCUAUGUUUUUUGGACAGGUCUCAAUCUCUAGCCCAGGUUGACCUUAAAUUUGCAAUUCUCACUUUGCAGUCUCACCAGUGCUGAGAUGACAGGUGUGACUACCACAGCUGCUCAUCUGUUUCUGUCUUCCACAGCCAGGAGUCAGGGAGCUGAUCUGAGUGGGAUUAAGUAAUGCCUAUGAGUGCCACUGGGUGCCAGUAGUGGAGUAUAUUGGGGUCUAAGUAUAUUGGCCUGGAAGUGAACACACACACACACACACACACACACACACACACACACACACACACAAACACACACACACACACCACACACAGACAGAGACAGAGAGAAAAAGAGAGAGAGCCUUAUUUCUUCCUCCUCUUCUUUUUUUGAGACAGAGUCAUAUAGCCUACAGGUUGGCCUCAAACUCCCUAUACAGCCAAGGAUAACCUAGAACUCCUAAUUCUCCUGCUUUCUGGUAUUAAAGAUACAGAGUUACUACACCAAACUUAUGCAGAACUGGGACUCAAACUCAGGGUGUUGUGCACAGUAGGCAAACACUCUACCAUCUAAGCUACAUCCCCAGCCAAUGACAUUUCUUUUGUUCCUGCUCUACUAUUUCAUGGCUGUUGCACUAGAAGCCCAAAUGGGAAAGCAUGAUUCUAAAGAUAUUGGGGUCAUCAUACAUCAUCCAGUAAAUACCAUAUAGUGAGAUCUCAUUUCAAAAGAACAAAAACAAAAAUUAGAUUAUAAUUUUAGCUAUGGGCCAAUUUUAAGAACAAAGAGUGCAAAAAAUUUUUUCUCUUUCCUGUUAAGAUUGUAUAGUAUUCAUUAGACACAGCAGUAUGUGUCUGCAAAUCCCAGCUACUUAGGACAUUGAGGAAGAAGGAUCAUAAGUUCAAAGCCAGCCUGUGAUGU